rnacentral:sRNA from 1 species
GCCACGAUUCCGACUCAGAUAGCGAGCUGUCCCUGGAUGAGCAGAGCAGCUCUUACGCCUCCUCACACUCAUCAGACAGCGAGGACGAUGGGGUGGGAGCUGAGGAAAAAUGGGACCCGGCCAGGGGUGCCGUCCAUAGCACCCCCAAAGGGGACGCUGUGGCCAACCACGUUCCGGCCGGCUGGCCUGACCAGAGCCUGGCUGAGAGUGACAGUGAGGACCCCAGCGGCAAGCCCCGCCUGAAGGUGGAGACCAAGGUCAGCGUGGAGCUGCACCACGAGGAGCAGGGCAGUCACCGUGGAGAGUACCCCCCGGACCAGGAGAGCGGGGGCGCAGCCAGGCUUGCCAGCAGCCAGCCCCCAGAGCAGAGGAAAGGCAUCUUGAAAAAUAAAGUCACCUACCCGCCGCCGCUGACGCUGACGGAGCAGACGCUGAAGGGCCGGCUCCGGGAGAAGCUGGCCGACUGUGAGCAGAGCCCCAUAUCCUCGCGCACAUCUUCCCUGGGCUCUGGCGGCCCCGACUGCGCCAUCACAGUCAAGAGCCCUGGGAGGGAGCCGGGGCGUGACCACCUCAACGGGGUGGCCAUGAACGUGCGCACUGGGAGCGCCCAGGCCGAUGGCUCCGACUCUGAGUGAGUAGCCUGGGCCUCCAGGGCGGGGAUCACCCACUUCCCCCUUGUCCUGAGUCAGGAGGGAGAGGGGGCAGUGGUCAGGGACCUGACACCCACCUCACCUGGAGCCCUGAGUGCAGAGGAAGCCCAGGCGGGGAUGGGGGAGGGGGGAGGCGCUGCAGCUGAGGUCAGGAGGAUCCCCCGGAGAUGGGCAGACCCCCUAUCCUGGGGACACGUCUCAGGCCUCUGGGACUCUGAAGCCCUGGCCAGCCCCGAAAUGCUAGGACCUAAGGUGCUGGGCUCUGCGUUUGAUCAGCAUUGUCUCCGCCUGGGACCACUGCCACCCACCUUGCAGUUGAGGAUACUGAGGGUCCCGGAAUGCCAGGGGUGAAGGGGGCGGGGUGGAGCUGGGGUCCUGGCCCCAGACCUCUCCCUGUCGCCCCUCCCUCCCUCCAAACUCACAAGGGAGAAGCCAGGUCUUAGAAUGCCCCUUCCAAAAGUCACUGUAGAGAUGGCCGGUUUCUAACGCGGAUUCCUUGUGCUCUUCUGAGAGACCAGCAACACAGAGGCCCACAGGCUGGUCCUGGUCCCCUCUCCUGCCUCCCAAGGGCAGCCUCAUCCAACAUGAGCUUGCCCUCCCUGGAGCCCCCAGACGCCCCCUCUACCCUGAUGGGGUGAUCCUGCCCCCCUGUGUGACAACCUUGGGCCCCACCAAGCUGCUACCCUCACUGACCCUUCACCUGCUUGCUGGCUUCUUCCCACGCGCAGAGGCAGUAAUGAAACUUCAAUUUGAACCAUCAGUAAUGAAACUUCAAUUUGAACCAUCAGGAAACCGUGAGGCAAGCCCGUCACCCCAUACAGGCUGCGGCAUCACCCUCAGACCUUGGAGCCCAAGGGGCCACUGCCCUUGAAGUGGAGUGGGCCCAGAGUGUGGCGGUCCCCAUGGUGGCAGCCCCCCGACUGAUCAUCCAGACACAAAGGUCUUGGCUCUCCCAGGAGCUCAGGGCCUGUCAGACCUGGUGACAAGUGCCAAAGGCCACAGGCAUGAGGGAGGCGUGGACCACUGGGCCAGCACCGCUGGGUCCUAAGACUGCAGUCAGAGCCAGAACUGAGAGGGGACCCCAGACUGGGCCCAGAGGCUGGCCAGUGUUCAGGAACGCCGGGCACAGACCAAAGACCGCGGUCCAGCCCCGCCCAGGCGGGCAUCUCAUGGCAGUGCGGACCCGUGGCUGGUAGCCUGGGCAGUCCUUUGCAAAGGCACCCCUUGUCUUAAAAUCACUUCGCUAUGUGGGAAAGGUGGAGAUACUUUUAUAUAUUUGUAUGGGACUCUGAGGAGGUGAAACCUGUAUAUAUAUUGCAUUCGUGCUGACUUUGUUAUCCCGGGAGAUCCAUGCAAUGAUCUCUUGCUGUCUUCUGUGUCAAGAAGAUUGCACAGUUGUACUUGAAUCUGGCAUGUGUUGACGAAACUGGUGCCCCAGCAGAUCAAAGGUGGGAAAUACGUCAGCAGUGGGGCUAAAACCAAGCGGCUAGAAGCCCUACAGCUGCCUUCGGCCAGGAAGUGAGGAUGGCGUGGGCCCUCCCCGCCGGCCCCCUGGGUCCCCGGUGUUCGCUGUGUGUGCGUUUGUCCUCUGCUGCCGUCUGUCCCGGCUGUGUGAAUUCAAGACAGGGCAGUGCAGCACUAGGCAGGUGUGAGGAGCCCUGCUGAGGUCACUGUGGGGCACGGUUGCCACACGGCUGUCAUUUUUCACCUGGUCAUUCUGUGACCACCACCCCCUCCCCUCACCGCCUCCCAGGUGGCCCGGGAGCUGCAGGUGGGGAUGGCUUUGUCCUUUGCUCCUGCUCCCCGUGGGACCGGGGACCUUAAAGCGUUGCAGGUUCCUGAUUUGGACAGAGGUGUGGGGCCUUCCAGGCCGUUACAUCCCUCCUGCCAAUUCUCUAACUCUCUGAGACUGCGCGGAUCUCCAGGCAGGGGUCUCCCCUCUGGAGUCUGACCAAUUACUUCAUUUUGCUUCAAAUGGCCAAUUGUGCAGAGGGACAAAGCCGCAGCCACACUCUUCAACAGUUACCAAACUGUUUUUGGAAAUUCACACCAAGGUCGGGCCCACUGCAGGCAGCUGGCACAGCGUGGCCCAAGGGGCUGUGGAACGGGUCCCGGAACUGUCAGACAUGUUUGAUUUUAGCGUUUCCUUUGUUCUUCAAAUCAGGUGCCCAAAUAAGUGAUCAGCACAGCUGCUUCCAAAUAGGAGAAACCAUAAAAUAGGAUGAAAAUCAAGUAAAAUGCAAAGAUGUCCACACUAAGUUUUAAACUUGACCCUGAUGAAAAUGUGAGCACUGUUAGCAGAUGCCUGUGGGAGAGGAAAAGCAUAUCUGAAAAUGGUCCAGGACAGGAGGAUGAAAUGAGAUCCCAGAGUCCUCACACCUGAAUGAAUUAUACAUGUGCCUUACCAGGUGAGUGGUCUUUCGAAGAUAAAAAACUCUAGUCCCUUUAAACGUUUGCCCCUGGUGUUUCCUAAGUACGAAAAGGUUUUUAAGUCUUCGAACAGUCUGCUUUCACGACUUUAACAGGAUUCUGCCCCCUGAGGUGUAAUUUUUUUGUUCUGUUUUUUUCCACGUACUCCACAGCCAACAUCACGAGGUGUAAUUUUUAAUUUGAUCAGAACUGUUACCAAAAAACAACUGUCAGUUUUAUUGAGACGGGAAAAAUGUAAACCUAUUUUUAUUACUUAAGACUUUAUGGGAGAGAUUAGACACUGGAGGUUUUUAACAGACAUGUAUUUAUUAAUGUUCAAAACACUGGAAUUACAAAUGAGAAGAGUCUACAAUAAAUUAAGAUUUUUGAAUUUGUA